UAUAUUAUAGUUUAAUAAAAACAUUAAGUUGCAAAUUUAAAGAUAUUUAUUUAGAUUAAUAUAU
rnacentral:tRNA from 1 species